rnacentral:rRNA from 1 species
CCUACGGGUGGCAGCAGUGGGGAAUAUUGGACAAUGGGCGAAAGCCUGAUCCAGCCAUGCCGCGUGUGUGAAGAAGGCCUUCGGGUUGUAAAGCACUUUCAGUGGGGAAGAAAGCCUUGGGGCUAAUACCCUCGAGGAAGGACAUCACCCACAGAAGAAGCACCGGCUAACUCCGUGCCAGCAGCCGCGGUAAUACGGAGGGUGCGAGCGUUAAUCGGAAUUACUGGGCGUAAGGCGCGCGUAGGCGGUCUGAUAAGCCGGUUGUGAAAGCCCCGGGCUCAACCUGGGAACGGCAUCCGGAACUGUCAGGCUAGAGUGCAGGAGAGGAAGGUAGAAUUCCCGGUGUAGCGGUGAAAUGCGUAGAGAUCGGGAGGAAUACCAGUGGCGAAGGCGGCCUUCUGGACUGACACUGACGCUGAGGUGCGAAAGCGUGGGUAGCAAACAGGAUUAGAUACCCCGGUAGUC